GAUGAAGAACGUAGCGAAAUGCGAUAAGUAAUGUGAAUUGCAGAAUUCAGUGAAUCAUCGAAUCUUUGAACGCACAUUGCGCCCCCUGGUAUUCCGGGGGGCAUGCCUGUCCGAGCGUCAUUACAACCCUCAAGCUCAGCUUGGUGUUGGGCCCCGCCGCCCCGGCGGGCCCUAAAGUCAGUGGCGGUGCCGUCCGGCUCCGAGCGUAGUAAUUCUUCUCGCUCUGGAGGUCCGGUCGUGUGCUUGCCAGCAACCCCCAAUUUUUUUCAGGUUGACCUCGGAUCAGGUAGGGAUACCCGCUGAACUUAAGCAUAUCAUAGCGGAGGA
rnacentral:misc_RNA from 1 species